UUAAAUUGAAGAGUUUGAUCAUGGCUCAGAUUGAACGCUGGCGGCAGGCCUAACACAUGCAAGUCGAACGGUAACAGGAAACAGCUUGCUGUUUCGCUGACGAGUGGCGGACGGGUGAGUAAUGUCUGGGAAACUGCCUGAUGGAGGGGGAUAACUACUGGAAACGGUAGCUAAUACCGCAUAACGUCGCAAGACCAAAG
rnacentral:rRNA from 2 species